rnacentral:rRNA from 1 species
CGUGUAGGCGGUUGGAAAAGUCAGGUGUGAAAUUCUUCGGCUCAACCGGGGGACUGCGCCUGAAAACUUUCCGACUGGAGUUCGGGAGGGGGCAACUGGAAUUCCUGGUGUAACGGUGAAAUGUGUAGAUAUCAGGAGGAACACCCGUGGCGAAGGCGGGUUGCUGGACCGAAACUGACGCUGAGACGCGAAAGCGUGGGUAGCAAACA